rnacentral:tRNA from 1 species
AGGAAUUUAGGUUAGAUCAGACCAAGAGCCUUCAAAGCUCUAAGCAAGUAGUUACUCACUUAAUUCCUG